CAUGCAGUCGAGCGGAUGACGGGAGCUUGCUCCUGGAUUCAGCGGCGGACGGGUGAGUAAUGCCUAGGAAUCUGCCUGGUAGUGGGGGACAACGUUUCGAAAGGAACGCUAAUACCGCAUACGUCCUACGGGAGAAAGCAGGGGACCUUCGGGCCUUGCGCUAUCAGAUGAGCCUAGGUCGGAUUAGCUUGUUGGUGAGGUAAUGGCUCACCAAGGCGACGAUCCGUAACUGGUCUGAGAGGAUGAUCAGUCACACUGGAACUGAGACACGGUCCAGACUCCUACGGGAGGCAGCAGUGGGGAAUAUUGGACAAUGGGCGAAAGCCUGAUCCAGCCAUGCCGCGUGUGUGAAGAAGGUCUUCGGAUUGUAAAGCACUUUAAGUUGGGAGGAAGGGUUGUAGAUUAAUACUCUGCAAUUUUGACGUUACCGACAGAAUAAGCACCGGCUAACUCUGUGCCAGCAGCCGCGGUAAUACAGAGGGUGCAAGCGUUAAUCGGAAUUACUGGGCGUAAAGCGCGCGUAGGUGGUUUGUUAAGUUGGAUGUGAAAGCCCCGGGCUCAACCUGGGAACUGCAUCCAAAACUGGCAAGCUAGAGUACAGUAGAGGGUGGUGGAAUUUCCUGUGUAGCGGUGAAAUGCGUAGAUAUAAGAAGGAACACCAGUGGCGAAGGCGACCACCUGGACUGAUACUGACACUGAGGUGCGAAAGCGUGGGGAGCAAACAGGAUUAGAUAC
rnacentral:rRNA from 1 species